UCAACAGUCCUGCAUGGAAACUAUUUGGAUGAUUGAAAAGGCCACAGCUCUGGGCAACUGGUGAUUGGCAGCUUCAUCAUGAUAAUGUGCCUGCUCACACAUCAAGUCUCGUGCAGAGUUUUUUAGUGAAACAUCAAGUCACCCAGGUGACUCAGCCCCCUUACAGCCCAGAUUUGGUGCCCUGCAACUUCUGGCUUUUCCCAGUACCAAAAUCACCUU